UACCGGCAGCCCGAGUGAUGACCGCUAUUAUUGGGCCUAAAGCGUCCGUAGCUGGCCGAGCAAGUCCGUCGGGAAAUCCGCGCGCUUAACGUGCGGGCGUCCGGCAGAAACUGUUCGGCUUGGGACCGGAAGACCCGAGGGGUACGUCUGGGGUAGGAGUGAAAUCCCGUAAUCCUGGACGGACCGCCGGUGGCGAAAGCGCCUCGGGAAGACGGAUCCGACGGUGAGGGACGAAAGCUAGGGUCACGAACCGG
rnacentral:rRNA from 1 species